rnacentral:ncRNA from 1 species
UUUUUGCAUGGCGAACCGUCACCGGAUGGUGUGCCUGUACAAACAAUCGUUUGACUAGCCUGCAAAAACGCC